rnacentral:lncRNA from 1 species
UUUUUUAUAAUUAAUGUUGACGCAAGUUUGGUGGAGGUAGUUAACACUUCUAGUGUGAGGGUGGAUGUCACAAAUCAUUCUGGAAAAGUGGUCAUUUUCUCGUGGGGUUAUAUUGGUGCUUGUGAUAGUGUUGAGGAAGCGGAACUUAGAGGGGCGCUAGCCGGUUUGUAUAUCGCUAUCACUCUUCCCAAACCCGUUAUUUUAGG